rnacentral:rRNA from 1 species
AGGAGAGUUUGAUCCUGGCUCAGAACGAACGCUGGCGGCGCGUCUUAACCAUGCAAGUCGAACGGCAAGGCGGGAGCUUGCUCCUGCCCUAGAGUGGCGGACUGGUGAGUAACACGUGGGUGACGAACCCUGCUGACGGGGAUAGCCGCUAGAAAUAGCGGAUAAUACCGGAUACGGCCAUAUAUGUUAGAGGUAUAUGGGGAAAGGGAGCUUAGGCUCCGCAGCAGGAUCGGCCCGCGGCCCAUUAGCCAGUUGGCGGGGUAAAAGCCCACCAAAGCGACGAUGGGUAUCCGGCCUGAGAGGGUGAACGGACACAUUGGGACUGAGAUACGGCCCAGACUCCUACGGGAGGCAGCAGGUAAGAAUAUUCCGCAAUGGACGAAAGUCUGACGGAGCGACGCCGCGUGGAUGAUGAAGGCCGAAAGGUUGUAAAAUCCUUUUGUACCGGGAGAAUAAGGAGGACAGGUAAUGGUCCUCUGGUGACGGUACGGUACGAAUAAGCAACGGCUAAUUACGUGCCAGCAGCCGCGGUAACACGUAAGUUGCGAGCGUUGUUCGGAAUUAUUGGGCGUAAAGGGCAUGUAGGCGGACCGGCAAGCUUGGCGUGAAAUCCACGGGCUCAACCCGUGAACUGCGUUGAGAACUACCGGACUUGAGUCGCUGAAGCGCAACCAGAAUUCCAGGUGUAGGGGUGAAAUCUGUAGAUAUCUGGAAGAAUACCAAUGGCGAAGGCAGGUUGCGGGCAGACGACUGACGCUGAGGUGCGAAGGUGCGGGGAGCAAACAGGAUUAGAUACCCUGGUAGUCCCCU